CGUAGGUAACCUGCCUGGUAGCGGGGGAUAACUAUUGGAAACGAUAGCUAAUACCGCAUAAUAGUAGAUGUUGCAUGACAUUUGCUUAAAAGGUGCAAUUGCGUCACUACCAGAUGGACCUGCGUUGUAUUAGCUAGUUGGUGAGGUAACGGCUCACCAAGGCGACGAUACAUAGCCGACCUGAGAGGGUGAUCGGCCACACUGGGACUGAGACACGGCCCAG
rnacentral:rRNA from 1 species